rnacentral:rRNA from 1 species
AUUGAACGCUGGCGGCAUGCCUUACACAUGCAAGUCGAACGGCAGCACGGGUGCUUGCACCUGGUGGCGAGUGGCGAACGGGUGAGUAAUACAUCGGAACAUGUCCUGUAGUGGGGGAUAGCCCGGCGAAAGCCGGAUUAAUACCGCAUACGAUCUACGGAUGAAAGCGGGGGAGCUUAGGGACUCGCGCGAUAGGGUUGGGCGAUGGCUGAUUAGCUAGUUGGUGGGGUAAAGGCCUACCAAGGCGACGAUCAGUAGCUGGUCUGAGAGGACGACCAGCCACACUAGGACUGAGACACGGCCCAGACUCCUACGGGAGGCAGCAGUGGGGAAUUUUGGACAAUGGGCGAAAGCCUGAUCCAGCAAUGCCGCGUGUGUGAAGAAGGCCUUCGGGUUGUAAAGCACUUUUGUCCGGAAAGAAAUCCUUGGCCCUAAUACGGUCGGGGGAUGACGGUACCGGAAGAAUAAGCACCGGCUAACUACGUG